GACGUAGGGGGCGAGCGUUGUCCGGAUUUAUUGGGCGUAAAGCGUGCGUAGGCGGCUGCGCAAGUCGGUUGUGAAACCCCGGGGCUCAACCCCCGGAACUGCAUCCGAUACUGCGUGGCUAGAGGUAGGUAGGGGAGAUCGGAAUUCCUGGUGUAGCGGUGAAAUGCGCAGAUAUCAGGAGGAACACCGGUGGCGAAGGCGGAUCUCUGGGCCUUACCUGACGCUCAGGCACGAAAGCUAGGGGAGCGAACAGG
rnacentral:rRNA from 1 species